GUGGAGGCGCUGAUCGGCUCAGGUGGCUUGCAAAACGGGGAUGGAGACAAGCAAUGCAGCCGAGGAAAGCUCUUCACACGUGUCCAGCUGCCUUUCCACGGCUUCUGCAGCUCAAGAUGCUGCUGCGGCUGGGGGCUGGCUCCUGCCGCCGCUGCAAUAUAUCCCCUCUGCUGCUUGUGCCGUUCUGGAGCCGCAAGGCUGCAUCUCCCCCUCUCUCUCCCGUCAGUUUUCCCCAUCCCAGCUUCACGUUCAAGGUUUAACAGCGAGGUCACGUCCAUUGACGUCAGCUCGAGUCUUACUGUACGUCCGGCUGCAUUUACAUACAUCAAGGAAAUUAGGGCAUUAAAAAUAUGCAAAUCCUGCUGCUUGAAGAAGAGACUGUAGAUUCCCGCAGCGAUCGUCCCUGUUAUUGAAGAUUGUAAUUAAAGGAACAGAAACAAACCAACCCCCCUCCCCGCGUCCCCCCAAAAAACAACAACAACCAAAAACCCCGAAUGACAAAUAUCUGUUAGGCACUGAGAAGAGGUUUCUGCUGCUCCGGUUCGGUGGCUGACUGAGGACGGCCGGCCUGCAGCACUGCACGGAGAAGAGAACAGGUUAGAGGAGGCUGCUCCAGACGUCUCUCUAUGCAUAAUCAGGGCUUCGCCGCUGCGCCAUUCUCCUCUCCUCCUCCUGCUGCUGCUGCUGCUCCUGUUGGUUCCAGCGUGUAUUAUUUUUAAUACUGAUGCAUAUGUAAAGACGGGCAAAUUCCUAGCACCUUUUCUUAACUGAGGCUGGGAGCACCAUUGAAUUUGUGUGCCGGCCAGCAGCCUCACAGAGACAGCGGAGGGGAGUGAAAACGCCAGUGAUCCUGCACCGGGAGAAGAGAAUUCACAGCAACUUAGCAAGCAAACAAGACAAAAAGUUAAAGAGUGAUGGCACUGUACCUUGCCCCCGGUCACUCAGACGUGCGCUUCCCAUUUUGUACAUGAUGAAGAGUUUUGGAAACUACGUCUGAGUCCAAUGGAUCGUUUGGUUUGUGGAAUCAAAGCCCACCUAAAAGUGGUACAAGCCACUGAAUGUCCCUGAAUGCGUGAGUGUCCCUGAAUGUCCCAAAACCGUGUAAAAACUCACUAUUGUGUAAAAUCUAUACGGUUGAGCAGACUCAUGUAUCUUGUUUAUGUAAGCAGGGGAAUGAUUACAUUUUCUCUAGAUGAACUAAUUUCAGACAAAAGCAUAUACCAAUGUAUAAGACUAAAAGUUUCCAAUUUUAAUCAAACCACAACCCCUCUUCAAAAUCUUCCAUUACAAAUGUAUUAGACAAACAUAUCUGCCUUUUAGCAGACAGACGUUUCCUGGCACAGCUAUGGUUCUGAGCGGAUGCUGCUGCUAAAACAUUGCUAAAUUAACACCAAACCAGUGGUGCUCCCGCUUGUGGUGCUAUGCACCAGAGAUCAGAAUUGAGUCCUUAGUGUUGCGACAUCAUUGAAAAACUCAAACAAGGGGGAGAUCUUAAAAGAGGAGGCUAUUCUCUGUGCACAGAUAUUUUGGUAACUAGUAAUAAUCAGUAAAUAAUAAUAAAAUGUAUGAAAUAGCUUAACACAACAUACUUAGGCUUAAUUAAAUAACCCGUCUGUCUGUUUAGCCCAGGAUUUUCCGAUUUUUUUUCCCUAUGGACCUCAUUUUAUAAGAGACAUUGUCUUGUGGAUCAUCUCCUUUCCUAAUUUCAGUUGUUCAGAUCACCUCCCCUCCCAUUCAUGACUGGGGCAACUACAAUUUCUUAAAGGGGGAAGUCAUAGUAGGAAAGUAUCGAAGGUCGUUUUCACCAUCUUUUCAUGCCAUUUGGAAGAUGGAAAGGAGAAGGAGAGUUCAGUCUCAUGACCAGCCAGCUCUCUGCAGAACACCAGUAAAUUGUUCUGUGGAUCAGAAUAAGAGUUGCUGGUCUAAUUUCCAAAUAUAUGGAAAUUGUCUAUCACAGACAAUGGGGAGUUGUGUUUAAAAUUCGAUGACAGGUUAUAGCCACACUGUUUACAAAUUGCUUCUCUGGAAUGGGGUUCUUUAACCACAAGAAGUUCAGAAGUGAAUUGACACGCACACAAGCAGGUACCCUCUAUUUCUGCUUCCUAUUAGCCUGCACAGUUAUGGGAGAUCUUCCCCCACAUCUCUGCCCUGGCCUCUAUUUUUAUAAAAAAAAGAAAAACUAAUUCCAUCCGAGAUCGGAACUCGGAAUAUAUUAAUCAAUGGAGAUUAUCUAUACAACAGGGAACAGACGCCUGUCAAUUAUAAGGCUCUCCUCUGGUUUCUCCCCAGAUUGUACCAAUCUUUCCCCUUUUACAAGACUACAUUGCCACUGAGAAUAAACUUCGAGUUUGUGGCAUUAGCAGAAAACUGCAAAGCCCUCUUUAGCCUUAGCCUGAUUAUAAACUGCCCCUAAUUUAAAAGUCAGCUUGUCUUAAUUUUACACUUAAAAUACACAAAUCCUGAUUCUGAAUCCACCAUUGUUUCUUACUAUCAUUAUUUGCCCUGUUGGAGGAGUUGGUCCCAGGGUAAUAGAGAGACAAGGUGCGGGAUGUGGUAUCUUUUAUUGGCCCAGCUUGUGUUGAGGAGAGAGACAAACUUUCCAGCUAUAUAGAGCUUUUCUUCAGGUCUGGGAAAGGUACUCAUCCCUCCUGCACUUCUCCUUUUCCCUCCUCCUGGCACUGUUGGGUCUAGAGCUGGAUGGAGGAUUUUAGUUUGUUCAUUUGUUUGUUUUCCAGAAAAAUUUAACAAACAUGAUUUUGUUUGUUCAUUUUCAUUGUUUUCAGCAGGAAAUGUUGCCUUUUAAUUGAAAAUCUGAAAACCAAUUUGUUAUGGCUUUCAGCAACUGAAAACCAUUUUUUGUCAGACAUCCCUCCAGCCUUCCUCCCCAAAUCCAGCCCGAGAUGAUGGGCGGUUUCAUCUGAACAUUUUGGGGUUUUGUUUCUCUCUCUCUCUCUCUCUCUCUGGGAAAGCAGACACUUUUCAUAAACACCUUUGUUUAGUUAAAAACCCAUUUAAAAAAAAAGUUUUGAAGGAGAAUUUUUGACUGGCCUUAUUUGCCUCUCCAUCCACUCAACUUGGAGUGGUCUUUUCUCAUUCUCCCCCUUCUCCUCUUUAAGAUCCCUUUCCUGCAGAAUCUAAGCUUUCAUUUUUUUAAAAGUAUGUUUCUAGCCCUCCUGUUGGCAAAGUUACUAUUUCAAAUGCCAAAGGGAGAUACUGAUGCAGUGUUGUCUUACAGAAUCUGCAGUCAGCUUCACAAAGUGACUGAGCAGUGUGAACUCCCCUCUUCCAUUAAUCUCUGUUUUUACUUGUCAGCACUCAUUAUUUCAUUGCCCAUCAUUUUAUCAGCUGGAAUAGGAGAAAGGAACAAAGCACACAGAGUUAACUGGGACUUGGGGCAGGGAAAGAAACAGAGUGGAAAGAAAAGAGGAGAGACACAGAGAUGGGGAAUGGGAAGAGAAAGAAUGGCCACAAUAAUGGUGGUUCUAAAGAUGAAAAUAGUUCCCACUGAACUAGUGUAAUAGGAUCAUCUGCCUCCAGAUUACUCUCUUGUGACCAAGGGUGCCUCUGCCAUGCCCUGCCUCUGUUUUGCCCUUCUUCAGGGCUUCUUAAACAAACUCCAGUCUUUCUUAUCCACUCACAGCCCUUCUUGGGGUCUGGUUUUACUAACAUGAAGUUCCAAACACAAACACAUUUCUACCUGGUCUCAAGAUGACACAACCCCUCCUCACUGAACUACUGUCCACUCCUGCUCUCUAAGCAGCUACAGAAGAUGCAAGGGCUGGCCUACCUUUUCCCAAAGGAAAAACAAACCUUUUAGUUGAGUCUUCUUACCCAUCCCCAGCUCCCUUCCUCAGGGACCACUGCCAAAGACCCUCUGUCCCUGCAGCUUCACUCUGUACUUCCCUUUCUAGCUCUGUCCUCACCGAGCCACCUUCUCACCCUUCAUAGCACAGGAGCAGCUCCAUAUGUGCCCCCGCUUAAUUGGCUCAACUGAGAGCUCCUGCUCUGGCACAGCAGCGCUUUAACAUGGGCUGUGUACGGGCUGGUACCAGCUUCUUACUGGUACACCAUACCGGCCCGUACAGUCCCACUUUCACCCCUGAUUGUAACUCCUAUGCUGGUGAUGUCUGUUCACCACCCACCUGGGCGUUGGUUACCAUUUCCCUUGUCAUAGUCUCUGAAGAGCUAGUAUCUAGGCACUUCCCAAACCCACAACAUAUUUUAGUGAAAACCAUACACCACAAUUCUUAUAAUUUUAUAUGCAUUAGUGACACUCAUAUUUAUAUGGAAUGAUGGGUUUCAGCAGAUCAUAACCUUUCCCCUGAUACCUCACAUGACAUGCUUUAUAUGCAAUAUCACAAUUAUAUGUAAAUGAGGAAUAUGGGGCUUACAGGGUGCUCCACCGAGGUACAAUGUCAGAAACUCCCCUACUACUGUGUGUACUAGUGCAAUACUGUAAUUGUCAUGUGCAUAAUUAUAUCAAUAUCAUAACAGCUUCACAUUCUGACCUGGAGCUGAUAUAGUAGGAUCAAUGCCCCUUCUGAGUGCUGUGUGACUUACUGGUUUAUGGCUUGAUCUUAUCUCAUUAAGGUCAAUGACAAGACUUCCAUUGAUUUCACUAGGAGCAGGAUUGGGCCUUUAGCUCUUCCUGCAAACCCCUUAUAGAUAGAAAAUACAGAAUAGAUCAUCAUGAUUUUGAAGGAGUUGUUACACAAACAUUAUAAACAUUUACUACAUUUUAAAAUUAUUUACA